rnacentral:rRNA from 1 species
UAGGUAUGCUUAGGGAGGAGCUUGCGUCACAUUAGUUAGUUGGUGGGGUAAAGGCCUACCAAGACUAUGAUGUGUAGCCGGGCUGAGAGGUUGAACGGCCACAUUGGGACUGAGACACGGCCCAAACUCCUACGGGAGGCAGCAGUAGGGAAUUUUCGGCAAUGGAGGAAACUCUGACCGAGCAACGCCGCGUGAACGAUGAAGUAUUACGGUACGUAAAGUUCUUUUAUUAGGGAAGAAUAAAUGAUGGAAAAAUCAUUCUGACGGUACCUAAUGAAUAAGCCCCGGCUAACUAUGUGCCAGCAGCCGCGGUAAUACAUAGGGGGCAAGCGUUAUCCGGAAUUAUUGGGCGUAAAGGGUGCGUAGGCGGUUAAAUAAGUUUAUGGUCUAAGUGCAAUGCUCAACAUUGUGAUGCUAUAAAAACUGUUUAGCUAGAGUAAGAUAGAGGCAAGUGGAAUUCCAUGUGUAGUGGUAAAAUGCGUAAAUAUAUGGAGGAACACCAGUAGCGAAGGCGGCUUGCUGGGUCUUUACUGACGCUGAGGCACGAAAGCGUGGGGAGCAAACAGGAUUAGAUACCCUGGUAGUCCACGCCGUAAACGAUGAGUACUAAACGUUGGGUAAAACCAGUGUUGAAGUUAACACAUUAAGUACUCCGCCUGAGUAGUACGUACGCAAGUAUGAAACUUAAAGGAAUUGACGGGACUCCGCACAAGCGGUGGAUCAUGUUGUUUAAUUCGAAGGUACCCGAAAAACCUUACCAGGUCUUGACAUGCUUCUGCAAAGCUGUAGAAACACAGUGGAGGUUAUCAGUUGCACAGGUGGUGCAUGGUUGUCGUCAGCUCGUGUCGUGAGAUGUUGGGUUAAGUCCCGCAACGAGCGCAGCCCUUAUUGUUAGUUACCAGCACGUAAUGGUGGGGACUUUAGCAAGACUGCCAGUGAUAAAUUGGAGGAAGGUGGGGACGACGUCAAAUCAUCAUGCCCCUUAUGACCUGGGCUACAAACGUGAUACAAUGGCUGUUACAAAGGGUAGCUGAAGCGCAAGUUUUUGGCGAAUCUCAAAAAAACAGUCUCAGUUCGGAUUGAAGUCUGCAACUCGACUUCAUGAAGU